rnacentral:lncRNA from 1 species
AAUUAUUUCAUGGAGAUAUACAAUGUGCAAUGCGUUUCAACCAAUGAUUCAUAAAUAAAGUUGCUUUUGCCAACUUAACUAAAUACAUUUUAAACUUGUGGUGAAGUUCAAAUCCUAACUUCAAUCAAUAUUUUAAACAAUUUGAUAUUAUCCCUCCAAGCAUGUUAUACAUAUGUAAUCAACCUGGUGUCCUAAAAUUGUUGGGCCUUCCACAAUUUAGCCUACAUUAGAUGAGCUACCUUAUGUUGUAAUGCCUUGUCUUCUCUGUGCCUUCUAUAGUCAUGGAUCCACCUAAAUUUUGAACUUGGUCUUGGUCUUAAUCAUUGUAAUCAUAUCCUUGGGCUUCGAUGUACAUGUCAUUCCCUUGCUACCUCUUGAGAAAGAUUUGUUGUCAAACCCAAAUCUUCAUCCUGUUGCGAAAGAUUUGUUGUCAAACCGAAAUCUUUAUCCUCUGCAGUAAAAGGAGAUAAAUAAAAAACAUUAAAAGUGCUACUAACAUUAUACUCACAUGGAAAAUCAGUCUUAUAGGAAUUGUCAUUUAUCAUUUUUAGCAUUCAGAAUGGCCUAUCCCCUCUAGGUUGGAUCUUGGAUUUUCUUUAUUAAGGGAAUCAUCUUCCUCAUAUGUAUUGAUAUGGAACAACAUGCCUAGAUAGAAAAGAAAACUAAGAACUAAACAAGAAUAAUUAAAAAUGGAAUUAAAAGACUAAAAAUGAAAGAGAGAAAGGAAAGGAAACUUAGGAGAAUGAAGCCAUAUCACUUGGAAGGAUCCAAGAUAAGUGCCAAGGUUUAAUAUUUUUUUCCAAGGUUUAAUAUUUUUUUCUUUUUUGUAAUAAGAGCUCUAAGAAAAGUAGAAAUAGUUUUGUUAACCACUUCAAUUUGUCCAUUGGUUUGGGAAUGACAUGCAAUUGAAAACAACAACUUGGUUUUGAUCUUACUCCCACAAAGUUUGCCAAAAGUGACUAAGAAAUCUGGAAUCCUGAUGACAUACAAUACUCCUAAGUAAACCAUGCAAUUUCACCAUCUCCUUGAAAAACAAAUCAGCAAAAUGACAUGUGUCAUCUACCUUUUGUCAUGCUGUGGAGUCAUAGUAAAAAACAUGUCAACCACCACAAAAUUUUAGUCCUUUCCUAUCUUGGACUGAGGCAAACCUAGAACAAAAUUCAUAGAAAUCUCAACCUAAGGAUGUUCAGGAACUGGUAAUGGAGUAGACAAACCAUGUGGCAUAACUCUUGAUAUAGCCUUCUUGCAUACAAGACAUUUAUCAGUACACUUAUGCAUGUUAUGCUUCAUGUGUGCCUCUCUAAUAAGCUAGUCCCUAACUGAACCAUUAGGUACACAAAGUCUCUUACCCCAUAACAACUACCUACAUGGCGUAAACUGCCCAUAAGAUGGAGUAUGAGAACAUGUUUGAUAUUUAUAAGAAAAGUCAGUAUCAUGCUCGCACAAUUCAUUAGUGCACUCAAAACCAAGAAACUUAGUUUCAAGGUUAGACAAUAAUGCAUGGCUACAAUAGACUACUAUUACAUUAUUAUUACCUUUCUUAUGUCUAAUAACAUGAAAAUUGUUCAAGAAAUUCCACCCACUUGCCUCUUGUUCAAGUGUCCUUUCCCUUUCAAAUAUUUCAAAAAUCACAAUGAAUAAUAAGUUCUUUGGACAAGAGAUAAUAAUGUAAAAUUCACAAAACUCCAAUUAAAGCAUAAAAUUCCUUAUUAUAUACAAAAUAGUUAAUAAGACCUCCAUUCAGUUUAUCACAAAAAUAUGCAAUGAGAUGCCCCUCUUGAAUCAACACAGCCUUGAUGCCUACCUGAGAUGGAUCACAUUCAAACUCAAAGGAUUUAAGAGAAUUAGGCAAAGCAAGAACAAGAGAAUUAUUAAACUUUUCUUUCAAAGCAGUUAAAGCCUUCUCUUGUUGAUCACUCAAAAGCACCAUUUUUCUUUAUAAUUUCAUUAAGCGAUGUAACCAAAAGGCUAAAAUACUUAAUAAGAUGUGAAUGCUCCUUACUCACUUACAUUUUUAGAGUUUGACCAAUUUUGAAUGGUUUUCACCUUCUUUUGAUCAACAUGCAGUCCUUGUGAGCUAAUAAUAAAUCCAAGAAAAAUAACAUGGUCCAUGCAGGACACACAUUUUUCCAUGUUAGCAUACAAUUUCUCAAGUAUAAGUGCUUCCGAAAUACACCUCAAAUGCACAUCAUGGUCAUUAUAAGAUUUGCUAUAUUAUUUUUGAAUAUAGUGAAAACUAUGUAAGCGAUUAGUCUCUUGUGUUGAAUACAUACAUUUGGUUCUCUAUUUAUAAUAAAAGAAAUAUGGGCUAAGCUCAAAGUACAAAUAAAAAAUAAUAACAAACAAACUAAAGAUAAAAGAUAAAGAAAAGAUAAAGAUAAUAUAUCUAACACUUUCUCUCAUGUUGGUGAAUACAAAUCAUAUGUACCAAGCUUGUUACAAAUCUAAUCAAUUAUCAGCCCCCGUAAAAUCAUUUGUACCAAGCUUGGUCGUCUCAUGAAAGAUUGGAUUAAAACUAAUAUGAAGAGCAACUUCGUUGUCAAAUAUAAGUGUCAAACAAGCUCACAAGUGGUUGAGGCCAUAGCUCUAUAUUCUGCUUCUGCACUAGAUCUUGCCACAACACUCUAUUGCGUGCUUUUCCCAAAGAUCAAGUUACUACCAAUGGAGACACAAUAUUCGGAUGUAGUCCUUCUAUCAGAAGGAGAUCCUGUCCAACUAGCAUCAAAAUAACAAACCACUCUUGUAUGGUUUUUAGAGCCAUAUAACAACCCUUUUCUAGGAGAUCCUUUAAUGUACUUUAAUAUACGAAUAACUACAUUCCAAUGAUUUUCACAUGGAGAAUUAAGGAAUGUGCUUACCACACUAACUGCAAAGGAAAUGUCAGGACGAGUAACUGUAAGAUAAUUCAAUUUUUCAACUAGUUUUCUAUAUUUCUCGGGGUCUGACAUAGGCUCCCCUGUUUUGGUAGAAGUUUAGUAUUGGAAUCCAUGGGUGUGUCCACAGAUUUUGAAUUCAUCAAUUUAGUUUCCUCCAAAAUAUCUAAUGCAUACUUCCUUUGAGAUAUAACAAUAUCAUCGUUGGAUUGUGCCACCUCAAUACCCAAGAAAUAUCUAAGUUUGCCAAGAUCUUUGGUCUGAAAAUGGUUGCAAAGAGAUGCCAUGAUUGUCACUGUUUGUAAGAACAAUGUCAUCAACAUAUAUUACCAAGUAGAUACAUCCAACACUUGAUGACGGUAAAAGAUUGAAUGAUCUGCCUUACACCGAGUUAUACCAAAUUGUUGAACAAAGUUACUAAAUUUUCCAAACUAGGCCCUAGGAGAUUGUUUUAGGCCAUAUAAGGAUUUGCGAAGACGACAUACCAACCCAGAAGACUCUCCCUAAGGAACAAAUCUUGGAGUUUGUUACAUAUGAAUCUCUUCUUACAAAUCUUUGUUAAGGAAUGCAUUUUUGACAUCCUGUUGUUAAAGAAGUUAUUGUUGAAGAGUCACCACAACUAUAAAUAAACAAACAGAUGUCAUCUUUGCCAUUGAAGAAAAAGUAUCACCAUAAUGCAAUCCAAAAAUUUGUGUGUAACCUUUGGCCACAGGACGAGCUUUGAGGCGAUAAAUAGUUCCAUCAGGACUAACUUUGAUAGAAAAACCCCACCUGCAACCAACAAUAGAUCUUCUAAACAGUAAUGGGACAAACUCCCAAGUUCCAUUAUUCUAAAGAGUACUUAAUUCAUCUAGCAUGGCCUAACGCCAACCAGGAUAGGCUAAGGCAUCAAUAACAAAUUUUGGUAUGGUCACAGAAGAAAUAGACAAAAGGAAGGUAUAAAAGGUGAAGACAGUCCAUGAUAACUUAAAGUAAUAUAAUGUGGAGAGAGAUUACUUGUAAAACAUAUACCUUUUCGGAGGGCAAUUAGAAGGGUAGACUCAGUUAUCGAAGCCGAAGGAGACAAGGUAGUUGGCACUUGAAUUUAGUUGGAAGGGUAGACCCUUGUGCUUCGUACUUAUAGCAACCCCUUAUGCAAGGUCUAUCUCACCCUUCAAUGUUCUUGACACAAUUUAAAAAUGUAGAAAAGAGUAAAUGAAGACUCAAAUGGAAUAUAUUUGAUUCUUUAAUAUUGUUAAACAAGAAAUCAUAAGGAUACAACUAUCCCACUGCCCAGAGAAAAGCUCCUAAGAGAAACCGAAAAUGGCUCCCUCUCCAAUUAAGCAUCAAAAUAAAUGCCUCCCCAAAACCUACCUCCCUGAUCCUUUUAAACAACCAAUACCCCUUUCUUUCUCUUCUAACCAACCUAUUCCUCCCUAGUGUGCCACGUCACCCUUCUUAGUCGUUUUCCUCUCAUAUACUUUGCCCAACCUUUUCUUACUCUUCUCUUCUUGGAUCAAGGGUUUAGCCUAAUUGUAACAUCCUAUUUUAAUAGUGUAAAACUAUUAAAAUAAAAUGUACAUACAUGAUAACUUACAAGGAACCUGAGACUAAUAUAGUAGAAGAUUAUAUACCCUUAAAGAGCAAAAACUAUCUAUCAUAUUGCUUCUCUCUCAACCAACUGUUGAAUCAACUAAAAAGAUGUCCCCUUCCUAAGCUAACAUUGGUUAAGGUGAUGAUUGCAAAGGAGAAAACAGCACACAGACAGACAAAACACAAAAACAAUGAUAAGCUAGUGAUACAAAACAUUUCAUAAUAUACUUAAGUAUUUUAAACAUUCCACAUAUGAUACAGGUAACACAAUUUAACCAACCAAACACUUUACACAUGACCAUACUUUAACAGAACUAUCCGUACUUAGAAUGAAUGUCGGACUAUGGCAGGUUGUGCACUUGUGGUAGCUUUUACUGCUUUGCAAAGUCAUUGCCAAUGGGUUUCACCCUACCACACUCACAAGGUUAGUCUGUUCCACGCCUUGAAUCAUACUAGAAGCACCCAAGACUAAGACCUCCUGCUACUCUCACCACUUGUGUCAAUCUUCUCUACUUGAGAAUGAAAGACCAUUAGAGUCUUAGGAUAACCCUUAAGACUGAGCUCCCUGCAUUCAUACUAAUGAUACUUGAAACCACCACUGAGAAGUUCCUCCUUGGAACUCUCUUCCAUACCUUUGAAACCAUUGAGAUCACCGCGCAUUCACAUAGUACACCAAUACAUGAGACUACUAAUCAUACAUUAGAAAUAGAAACACACAUACAAGUCAUCAGAAAUGACAUAACACAAUUUCUUCAUGACAUCUUGAUAGUCACAUUUAGAUAAGGAAAACAGCUUUGAAACUCUCACCAACAACUCUGGAAGGGUCCAAAACCCCCUAAAACGAUAUAAAGAAUGUUAAAAAUGGACAUUCAGUUGAAAAAAAUUAAAAUCUGGCUGAGUGGUGUUGAGCGCCCCAAAAAGGGGCCCGGGCGCCAAACCCCUAGAACAGAGCACUCAAGGGGCACUCUGGCGAGUUCUUCUCGCAACAAUGACACCCAAGGGCCCUUGGAGAGCACUCAGCACUGCACCAGGUUCCAAAAUUCACCUAUUUUGAAUUUGGUGACCCUUUACACAAGUUUAAAUGAUUCCUAAACACUCUUAGGCGCUGAGAAACAUCUAAAAACAAACCUCUAACUUGAAUUGAUCACUCCAAACCUAAAUUGACCUAUGAAAACCCAAAUUCACUCUUAUAAGCUACCCAAACUCAAAUCUACACUUUCUAGUCCCCAUAUCAGUUUCCUAACUGUAUAACCAGGUCCAAAUACACUUGUUAGUACAUUCCAACACCUCAGAUUGCUGAUAGUCACUCUACUUUAAAUUUCCAACCCCCAAAACCUCCAAAAUGAACCAAUCUAUGAAGCAAUUUUCACCUUUCUGACAGACUUUUACUGAUUUGAAUAUCUAUACAAGUUUUAAUUGGUCCCAUAACCUGUUCCAAACUCUCCAAAACAAUUUAAAUCCCUUACUUCAAAAUCUCACUAUCCAAAACUCCAUUUUCACACUAAAAGCACCCUAAGCUUCAAAUUUGCACUACCUCUAUGAUAGAUUAGAUUUUAAUCAUAUUAUACCUCCAAGAAGUCUUAAUUUACCUCAUGAUAGCACCUCAAUAACAGUUUCCUCACAUCAGCCCCAAAUUCUCAAACUCACACCUUCAACCCCCCCCCCCCCACCUUGUCACCAUGGUUGAUUAAGCACCUCCUGAUCAUCAAAGAGAUGUCUCAGGAGUUAGAACGCUUGGAGAAGAUAGAGAACUCUAAAAAGUGAUUUCUAGAGAAAUAAUGUUUUAAAAUAAUGAAACUCAUUUAUAACAAAACUAUU